rnacentral:rRNA from 1 species
ACCCGCACAAGCGGUGGAUGAUGUGGUUUAAUUCGAUGCAACGCGAAAAACCUUACCCACCUUUGACAUGGCAGGAAUCCCGAAGAGAUUUGGGAGUGCUCGAAAGAGAACCUGCACACAGGUGCUGCAUGGCUGUCGUCAGCUCGUGUCGUGAGAUGUUGGGUUAAGUCCCGCAACGAGCGCAACCCUUGCCAUUAGUUGCUACGAAAGGGCACUCUAAUGGGACUGCCGGUGACAAACCGGAGGAAGGUGGGGAUGACGUCAAGUCCUCAUGGCCCUUAUAGGUGGGGCUACACACGUCAUACAAUGGAUGGUACAAAGGGUCGCCAACCCGCGAGGGGGAGCCAAUCCCAUAAAGCCAUUCGUAGUCCGGAUCGCAGUCUGCAACUCGACUGCGUGAAGUCGGAAUCGCUAGUAAUCGUGGAUCAGAAUGUCACGGUGAAUACGUUCCCGGGUCUU